UCUGCGUCGCUCAGUUUGGCGGCCUGGAUCUCUCUCCCUUACGUCACCACGAUUCUCGACUUCCAGCGUUUGCCUGACACAGGCGAAACUGCCGCGCAGAUGCGGGAGACAUUCAACGCGCAUCUGGCGCGCACGGAACAGAGGCUGCGCACCGUGACACG
rnacentral:sRNA from 1 species